rnacentral:rRNA from 1 species
GACGAACGCUGGCGGCGUGCUUAACACAUGCAAGUCGAACGGAAAGGCCUGCUUUCCCUUGUGGAUUGCGGGUACUCGAGUGGCGAACGGGUGAGUAACACGUGAGUGAUCUGCCCCCAACUUGGGUAUAAGCCUGGGAAACUGGGUCUAAUUCCCGAUAGGACUGCAGGGUGGUGCCUGUGGUGGAAAACGAUUUUCUAGUGGUUGGGGAUGAGCUCGCGGCCUAUCAGCUUGUUGGUGGGGUAAUGGCCUACCAAGGCGGCGACGGGUAGCCGGCCUGAGAGGGUGGACGGGCACAUUGGGACUGAGAUACGGCCCAGACUACUACGGGAGGCAGCAGUGGGGAAUAUGGCACAAUGGGCGGAAGCCUGAGGCAGCGACGCCGCGUGGGGGAUGACGGGCUUCGGGUGGUAAACUCCUUUCGACCGCGAGGAAGCCACCUGGUUGGAAGGGUGGUGACGGUAGUGGUAGAAGAAGCACCGGCUAACUACGUG